rnacentral:lncRNA from 1 species
AGGUGGUGGCAGAGCUGGUAGCAUGGGGGUGGCAGAGGGACAGGCCUGGGUGCUGUGGCAACAGGCUAGGGUUGAUGUUUUUUUUUUCUGAAGUUGCUAGGGUUUGGUUUUGUAUUAGGCUUCGGGUUUGGGCUUGUUGGGCUUGCAUUUGGGCUGGUCUGUUUAUUAUUUUUGGUUUCUUCUCUUGCCUGUUUUGCCCGGUCUCGUCGAUUCUUGACUUGUUCUGGUGCAUUUCUUUUUCAUGUAGCCUCUUUCCAGUCCACUGUGUCUUGUUGCUUCAAUCCACUCUACUGCACUUCAGAGAGAUACGGCUUGUAGCUUCAAUCCACUCUGUUGCUACUUUAGGGGGACAAAAUUCGGGGUUUUAGU